rnacentral:rRNA from 1 species
GACAGAGGUGCCAAGCGUUAGGCGGAAUCACUGGGCUUAAAGCGUGUGUAGGCGGAAUGGUAAGUACCUUGUGAAAUCCCACGGCUCAACCGUGGAACUGCUGGGUAUACUGCUUUUCUUGAGCCACUUAGGGGCUGUCGGAACAAACGGUGGAGCGGUGAAAUGCGUAGAUAUCGUUUGGAACGCCAAUGGUGAAACAGACAGCUGGGAGUGUGCUGACGCUGAGACACGAAAGCCAGGGGAGCGAACGGG